rnacentral:rRNA from 1 species
UUGCUCUAGUGGCGAACGGUCGCGUAACACGUAGGCAACCUGCCCAGAAGUGGGGGACAACAGCUUGAAAGAGCUGCUAAUACCGCAUGUGGCCAAUCGGUGGCAUCACUGAUUGUCUAAAGCUUUAUGCGCUUUUGGAUGGGCUUGCGGCCUAUCAGGUAGUUGGUGGGGUAAUGGCCUACCAAGCCGACGACGGGUAGCUGGUCUGAGAGGACGAUCAGCCGGAUUGGGACUGAGAUACGGCCCAGACUCCUACGGGGGGCAGCAAUUAGGAAUCUUGCGCAAUGGGGGCAACCCUGACGCAGCGACGCCGCGUGCGGGAUGAAGGCAUUCGUGUCGUAAACCGCUUUUUACGGGGAAGAAGAAUUUGACGGUACCCGUCGAAUAAGCCCCGGCUAACUACGUGCCAGCAGCCGCGGUAAUACGUAGGGGGCGAGCGUUGUCCGAAGUUACUGGGCGUAAAGCGCGCGUAGGCGGCCAUUUAAGUUCGGGGUGAAAGGUUCAACGCUCAACGUGAACAGUGCCUUGAAUACUGGGUGGCUUGAGUUCGGGAGAGGGCAGUGGAAUUCCUGGUGUAGCGGUGAAAUGCGUAGAUAUCAGGAGGAACACCGAUGGCGAAGGCAGCUGCCUGGCCUAGAACUGACGCUGAGGUGCGAAAGCGUGG